UUUGCUCCUUCCGGUUUACCAAAAACCCCCACAAAAUCCACAACCUGAGACCCUAGGUGAAGGAGGAUCGAAGCUAGGCGGCGGCGCCUUCAUCAUCGGCCGGUACAUGUUCCCGUCGCCUCCGUUGGAUCGGCUACGUUCAUUGUUGAGUUUCAUUUGGUUCAGGUCUCCUGAUAAAAACUUGUCGUCCCAUAUCAACCCCGAGGACCCUUGUCGCCUGAACGACGUGGUGGACCGUUGCAAACCACUCUGCUCCAUCACUUGAACUGCGAUUCCUGGUGAGUUUUGUAAUGAAUUCAAA